AGGAGGAGAAGGGAUCAAAUCUCACCUCCUAUCUUACAACCCUCCUUACUCCCCCCACUCCUCUGUCAUGCACGCGUCUCAAUCCUGAACAUUUGAAUGCAUGAGUUGUAAGUUGGGUGACAGAAGAGAGUGAGCACACGCCGGAAAUUGCAUCAGGUGAUGCCUUGUCUGCUGCGUGCUCACUUCUCUUUCUGUCACCCGUCUAUCCCUAUAUAACUAUUCCUCAUUAAUCUGUUGUUUAAGUAGAGUUUCGGGUGAUGGAAAAAUUAAAACAUGUCCUAGCUAGGCGGUGGAUUGAGGGAUACACACGCGUGUGUGCCAUACGGUGGUUUCCGAGGUGACUGUGUUCAUGGAUUUUUAAUCAGGGGCAUGUUGAUCUACUGAUGCAGGCAUGCUUUCUGUUUCAAGGUGGGCAAGUUGGUGUGGAUCUAUUGAAUCGAGAAGGGAAAUUCAAGUAACGAGAAGGCGUGUAAGAAUGCGUGAUUUUUGAGAGGCAUCUGUAUAUGAUCAUAGUUUAUUGCCCUUUUGCAGUUCUUGCGAAACAGGACUCCUUUUUUGUCGGCAUAAAUUGCGAAGAUCUACCCGUUUCUUCUCCGGUACCAUCUUGCACAAUAUUUUGGUGUUUAAUACUUUCAAAUACAUUGGUCUCUGCGUUUAAUCGAGAAUCAGCGAGCUUAUAUGUGAUGUUUAUACCCAGAGAUGAUAUAGGAAAAUAUAGAAAGAUUGGUUCACUAUUGUUGUAAGUUUGGUUAACACUUUCGGUCUUAUGAUCUAAAUCUACUUGGCCCGUUUCUACUCUUUUUAUGCUCUACUAUUGAAAUUGUACUAUGUUUAAUGUGUUAAUGCAGUGAUGUACCUUUUCCACAUGCCUUCUUACAUGCGAUAACCAAAUAUAAUUUUUCAUAUAUGUUCACAUAAUUUAGAUAUGUUGUCUCUUCUCUGUACGUAGGGACACCCCUGAAUAUAAAUUUUGCACAUUAUUUAAUACUCACUUCAAAAAUGAUUAUUGAGUUGCUUUAUUAUGCUAGCGACGUGUGCUACAAUUCUCAACAUAUGCUUAAGCAAGCUUGGUUUUGCUUUGACAAUAGUUAUGAGCAAUAUGUGCUAAUUAACUAAGCAAGUGUGAUAGUGGUGGCAUCAUUGUCAGCCUUUUUGUAGUCUUCUCUGAGGGUGGGUGAGCUAUACUAUUGGAUAGUGCUGCAAUUCUCAACAAGCUGACGCAUGGAAAAGAUGAACUCCUCAAUGUGCUCUGCAAGGAAGCAGUGUUAUGCUUUUCCGAGGAUAUAUAUAUAGUAUUGGGAUGUUGUUUUCUCUUGGAUAUACAUUUUGAACUAUAAGUAGCUAGUCCAUUAGAAUUCAGUUUGGUAUCUUUCUGUAUUCCUCUUUAAACAUACCUAAA